UGAAAUUCCGUUCUUGGAUAGACCUGUGCUUUGCAGAAAACCUGCAAGCCAUCAAAGAAGACGAAACAAACAAACAAAAUUUUCUGCCCCAGUUUAUACUAGGAAAAUUUUGUGAGUUAUUAGAAAAACUAUAAUCUAGUUUAAAAAUAAAUAAACGAAUGGAUAGAAAUUUAGGCUAGGAGUGCGAUAAAAUAAGAACCCUAUUCUUAAUAAUAUGACUAAAGGAAGUUAUGCCUAAUGAACGCAUGAAAAAGAAUUAGGAUUUUCG
rnacentral:lncRNA from 1 species